UGAGAGGCAUCUCUUGAAUAUCAAAGGUGAGCCAGUACAGGAUGGACCCGCGUCUGAUUAGCUAGUUGGUAAGGUAACGGCUUACCAAGGCGACGAUCAGUAGCCGACCUGAGAGGGUGAUCGGCCACAUUGGAACUGAGACACGGUCCAAACUCCUACGGGAGGCAGCAGUGGGGAAUAUUGCACAAUGGGCGAAAGCCUGAUGCAGCAACGCCGCGUGAGUGAUGAAGGCCUUCGGGUCGUAAAACUCUGUCCUCAAGGAAGAUAAUGACGGUACUUGAGGAGGAAGCCCCGGCUAACUACGUGCCAGCAGCCGCGGUAAUACGUAGGGGGCUAGCGUUAUCCGGAUUUACU
rnacentral:rRNA from 1 species